ensembl:lncRNA
CUUCUAUUUGUUUCAAAUGUAGAACAUAAUGAUUCAACAUUUGUAUAUAUUGUGAAGCGAUCACGUUUAGCUAGCAUCCAUCACCAGAGGGCGAGCUACUCUCUUAGAAACUUUUAAAUAUGAAACUAUUAACUAUAGGUUACUAAUGAAGGUAUGGUGCUACUUUUGAGAUUUACUAAGUUACCCUCCAGAGGUUUCAGCAAUUUAUCCUGCAUCAACACUGCUAAGUUACUUCCCUGGUGGUCCAGUGAUUAAGACUCUGCACUCUCAACGUGGGGGACCCAGGUUCAAUCCCCGGUCAGGGAACUACAUCCUGCAUGCUUGCAACUACGACCUGGUGUAGAGAGAUAAGUCCCUUCUAGUCCUGACAGUAUCCUCUGAUACAUAGCCUUCAUUCACAUUGAAAAGAAGGAAAACAGAAAGAACCAUAGUAUUCUGUGAGCAAGUGGAGUCUGAGGAGGACAUAUCCACAGAAACCUCAUUUUCUCAACUCCAGGACAUGGAAUGCAGGUUGGACAGACACAGUGAGGAUAAGCUGUAUAAGGACACCACCUUGAGAAAGGCCAAGCCACAGACCAGAAAAAGCCCAAGUCCUCUGUGACAUACAGAAUAGAGUCGCUGACCAGGUUCAGCUGUCUGCUGACCUCUGUGUGGUGAACAAGAGAAAAAUAAAAGCCUGUCUUAUUCUGGGGUCUCUCUGUCACAGCUCUGUGAUAAAAUGAAUUGUGUCUUUCCAAAAUUCGUAUGUUGAAGCCCAGCCCCCAGCUGUGAUUGAACUUGGAGAUAUGGAUUGUAAGGAUUAAGUGAGGUCAGGGGAAGGGCUCUGUCCUGUAGGACUAGUAUUCUUAUAAGAAGUGAGGUAGACACCAGAUCGCUCUCCUGUCCUCAGUGCUCACACCAAGGAAAGGCCAUCUGAGGACACAGUGAGAAGAC